rnacentral:rRNA from 1 species
CUACGGGGUGCAGCAGUGGGGAAUAUUGGACAAUGGGGGAAACCCUGAUCCAGCAAUGCCGCGUGUGUGAAGAAGGCCUGCGGGUUGUAAAGCACUUUCGGUUGGGAGGACUGCUUCUAGCACUAAUAUUGUUGGAAGUUGACGUUACCUUCAGAAGAAGCACCGGCUAACUCCGUGCCAGCAGCCGCGGCAAUACGGAGGGUGCAAGCGUUAAUCGGAAGUACUGGGCGUAAAGCGCGCGUAGGCGGCUAGAUCAGUCGGGUGUGAAAGCCCCGGGCUUAACCUGGGAACUGCAUCCGAUACUGUCUAGCUUGAGUACAGGAGAGGAGAGUGGAAUUCCACAUGUGGCGGUGAAAUGCGUAGAUAUGUGGAGGAACACCAAUGGCGAAGGCAGCUCUCUGGCCUGAUACUGACGCUGAGGUGCGAAAGCGUGGGGAGCAAACAGGAUUAGAUACCCGAGUAGUC